rnacentral:rRNA from 1 species
GACGAACGCUGGCGGCGUGCUUAACACAUGCAAGUCGAACGGUAAGGCCCUUCGGGGUACACGAGUGGCGAACGGGUGAGUAACACGUGGGUGAUCUGCCCUGCACUUCGGGAUAAGCCUGGGAAACUGGGUCUAAUACCGGAUACGACACCUUGGGGCAUCCCAGGGUGUGGAAAGAAUUUCGGCCAAGGAUGAGCUCGCGGCCUAUCAGCUAGUUGGUGAGGUAAUGGCUAACCAAGGCGACGACGGGUAGCCGGCCUGAGAGGGUGACCGGCCCCACUGGAACUGAGACACGGUCCAGACUCCUACAGGAGGCAGCAGUGGGGAAUAGUGCACAAUGGGCGAAAGCCUGAUGCAGCAACGCCGCGUGAGGGAUGAAGGCCUUCGGGGUGUAAACCUCUUUUAGCAGGGAAGAAGCGAAAGUGACGGUACCUGCAGAAAAAGCACCGGCUAACUACGUGCCAGCCGCCGCCGUAA